rnacentral:rRNA from 1 species
CCUACGGGUGGCUGCAGUGGGGAAUUGUUCGCAAUGGGCGCAAGCCUGACGACGCAACGCCGCGUGGGGGAUGAAGGUCUUCGGAUUGUAAACCCCUGUUGGGUGGGACGAACACUUUCGUGGUGAAUAUCCACGGAGGCUGACGGUACCACCUGAGGAAGCCCCGGCUAACUCUGUGCCAGCAGCCGCGGUAAUACAGAGGGGGCAAGCGUUGUUCGGAAUUACUGGGCGUAAAGGGCGCGUAGGCGGCCUGUUAAGUCGGACGUGAAAUCCCU